rnacentral:misc_RNA from 1 species
GAACGCACAUUGCGCCCCUUGGUAUUCCGAGGGGCAUGCCUGUUCGAGCGUCAUUUCAACCCUCAAGCGCAGGCUUGGUCUUGGGCUUCGCCGCUGACGCGGCGGGUCUUAAAAUCAGUGGCGGUGCCGUCGGGCCCUGAGCGUAGUACAUCUCCUCGCUAUAGGACCCCGGCGGAUGCUGGCCAGCAACCCCCAAUCUUCCAUGGUUGACCUCGGAUCAGGUAGGGAUACCCGCUGAACUUAA